rnacentral:rRNA from 1 species
AGCAGCCGCGGUAAUUCCAGCUCCAAUAGCGUAUAUUAAAGUUGUUGCAGUUAAAAGCUCGUAGUUGAAUUUCGGAAUCAGUACGCUGGUCGUGCCUUCGGUAUGUACUGGUGUCACUGAUUCCUCCCUUCUGAAGAACCAUCAUGCCAUUCACUUGGUGUGGUGGGGAAUCAGGACUGUUACUUUGAAAAAUUAGAGUGUUUAAAGCAGGCUAACGCUUGAAUACAUUAGCAUGGAAUAAUGAAAUAGGACGUUCGAUCUUAUUUUGUUGGUUUCUAGGAUUGACGUAAUGAUUAAUAGGGAUAGUUGGGGGCAUUAGUAUUCAAUUGUCAGAGGUGAAAUUCUUGGAUUUAUUGAAGACUAACUACUGCGAAAGCAUUUGCCAAGGAUGUUUUCAUUAAUCAAGAACGAAGUUAGGGGAUCGAAGACGAUCAGAUACCAUCGUAGUCUUAACCAUAAAACUAUGCCGACUAGGGAUCGG